ACGAACGCUGGCGGCGUGCCUAAAACAUGCAAGUCGAGCGAGAAAGCCCGCCAAGGGUGAGUUAAAGCGGCGCAACGGGUGCGUAACACGUGGGUAAUCUGCCUCGAAGAGUGGGAUAUAACUAGGCCGAAAGGUUAGCUAAUACCGUAUAAGCUCACGGGAACUUCGGUUUCUGUGGGAAAGGGCGGCCUCUGUAUACAGCUAUCGCUUCGAGAUGAGCCCGCGGCCCAUCAGUUUAGUUGGCGGUGUAAGAGACCACCAAGGGACAAUGACGGGUAGCUGGUCUGAGAGGACGAUCAGCCACACUGGAACUGAAGACACGGUCAGACUCCUACGGGAGGCAGCAGUUGGGAAAUAUUGUCGCAAUGGGCGAAAGCCUGACGCAGCAACGCCGCGUGAGCGAUGAAGGUCUUCGGAUCGUAAGCUCUUUCGGCCGGGACGAAAACCCGCCUGUUCAUACCAGGCGGUUUUUGACGGUACCGGAAGAAGAAGCACCGGCUAACUCUGUGCCAGCAGCCGCGGUAAUACAGAGGGUGCAAGCGUUGUUCGGAAUUAUUGGGGCGUAAAGCGCGUGUAGGCGGCCUGUUAUGUCGGGUUGUGAAAGCCCUCAGCUUAACUGAGGAAGUGCACUCGAAACUGGCGGGCUUGAGUACCGGAGAGGAGAGCGGAACACCCGGGUGUAGUAGAGGUGAAAUUCGUAGAUAAUCGGGUAGAACACCAGUGGCGAAGGCGGCUCUCUGGACGGAUACUGACGCUGAGACGCGAAAGCGUGGGGAAGCAAACAGGAUUAGAUACCCUGGUAGUCCACGCCGGUAAACGAUGAGAACUAGGUGUUGUGGGUGUUGACCCCCGCAGUGCCGUCGCUAACGCAUUAAGUUCUCCGCCUGGGAAGUACGGCCGCAAGGCUAAAACUCAAAGGAAUUGACGGGGGGCCCGCACAAGCGGUGGAGCAUGUGGUUUAAUUCGACCCGCAACGCGCAGAACCUUACCUGGACUUGACAUCCUCGGAAUCUGCUAGAGAAUAGCGGAGUGCCCGCAAGGGAACCGAGAGACAGGUGCUGCAUGGCUGUCGUCAGCUCGUGUCGUGAGAUGUUUGGGUUAAGUCCCGCAACGAGCGCAACCCUCGCCUUUAGUUGCCAUCCUUCAGUUGGGCACUCUAGAGGGACUGCCGGUGUGUUAUAAACCGGAGGAAGGUGGGGGAUGACGUCAAGUCCUCAUGGCCUUUAUGUCCAGGGCUACACACGUGCUACAAUGGCUGGUACAAAGCGUUGCCAACUCGCGAGAGGGAGCUAAUCGCAAAAAAACCAGUCUCAGUUCGGAUUGGAGUCUGCAACUCGACUCCAUGAAGUCGGAAUCGCUAGUAAAUCGAAGAUCAGCACGCUUCGGUGAAUACGUUCCCGGGCCUUGUACACACCGCCCGUCACACCAUGGGAGUCAACUGCUCCAGAAGUCGUCCGGUCGAACCGCAAGGAGGCCGCGCCCAAGGAGUGGUUGGUAACUGGGGUG
rnacentral:rRNA from 1 species